GUCCAGGCUUCUAAUUGACACACCGGCUGCGUUGACACAGUCCAGGCUGCUAAUUGACACAUCGGCUGCGUUGACACAGUCCAGGCUGCUAAUUGACACAUGAACUGCACCGGUGCAGUUUAGACUGCAUCGGCUGCUUGGCACAGUACAGGCUGCGCCACUUAGUCCAGGGGGCGUCGACUCAGUGCAGAGGGCGUUGACGCAGCAAAAGCCCGCCACACAGUGUUUAUAAGGAACACCUGCCGAAACAAGCCAGACCUCACUCACGCUCGCUUGUCGAAGCUCGUGUCAGUGCAGACUUCGUGUUCGUGCCUUGCCUUCCUUGCCGAUUAUGGAGCAGAGACGCAAAUCAUCCGCCGUGUGGGACCAUUUUGAUGUCCUGGAGAAUAAGGUGAAAUGUCGAAUUUGCCAAGUCAAUUCGCCAACAGAAGCACCUCCACCAUGCUGAGGCAUUAUCGGGCCAAGCAUGAGAAUGAAGUUCGCGAUGCACCCGGUAUUACGCCAGGUUCCAGGAAGCAGCUGUACUGGAAGGACCAACACACUUCUUUCCCAAACCUGUCCCACUUCGCAAAGGAGUUCCUUUGUACGCCAGC